rnacentral:lncRNA from 1 species
AUCUGUAAAUGGUCAAGAAUAAAGUCGGUGAUUACAUAUAAUAUUUUACUGCCAUUUCGUAUUAGAAAGAAUAAACAAAAAAGUUCUAUUUUGGGUGUGAACCAAAAUGCAAAGAAGAUCGAUUUUCUUCGCCUCUUGAAACAAAAAGAAAAUCAUAGUUACAUGGCAGAAAAUUUCCAGCAAAAUAAGUUUAUAUCCUCCCAUGUAGCUAAAUUGCUGAACAGCUAAACAUCAGAAAGAUCCAGUACUGCAACUCAUGAAGUUACUCAAAAUUCAAACCAAGUAAUCCAUACAAAAGCCAAAUCUCAUCAGUCAGCUUAGGAUAUCAGAGAGAAAACAACAUUUUUAUUCAAAGGGGAAACCAUACAGGCUAAUAAAACCCAGAUUUCUAGCUAUAUGACUGCACUCUAGACCCUCCAAACAAAGUCAAUCUGAACCCGCAUCUAAUUCAAAUUUGAUGGCUCAUAUUAGCCAUAGUUAUGAUGGUCAGAGCUCAAGGUUAGGUUUAGGACUGUAAUACAGCUGAGUCAAAAAUCGGAUCCAGCUCAGUUAAGUACCAUUUUUUGAGAUAGAGCUUUGCUCUAGAUGAAAUCGAACUAUUUUUCAUACAGGAAGGACAACUAGAAAUCUGCAUUCUGCUGGAACAGUGAGUCCGAAAAUUCUAAGACAUAUUACAUGAAAAAUUAGGGAAGUGUUUACUUGGUGCACCAGUAGCUGGCGAAUAGCUUCCUUCAGGUGUGCCUGUUGUGAGAACAACUACUAUCCAGUCUCCAUCGGAACCAAUCCCAACUCCUGUAUACUUGGUGUCAUUGAGGUUAUCAUUAUACUGAGACUGUGUAAAGUUAGUGAGUACAAGAUUUGGAACUAGGUUAGGAACACAAGCAGGCAUUACUGCUCCAUCCCUUGUGUUGGAGACAUUCAAAUGGCAUUUGGCCAGAAGGUUUGGGUAGUUGGCAAACUGCGGUUCAGUGCCUGGAACGGUGUUGGCACCGGUGGAGUUUGUGCAAGGUUGGUUCUUAAAUUGAUCUGCUAGUUCAUCAGCAAGGCACUCGGCAUUGUCAUUUUUCUUCAGAAUUGUCAAGUUCAAUGAAGCCCGGUAAUCGUUUAUGCCUUUAAGAAGAUUAUCCUCCUCAUCUGUAAAUGGUCAAGAAUAAAGUCGGUGAUUACAUAUAAUAUUUUACUGCCAUUUCGUAUUAGAAAGAAUAAACAAAAAAGUUCUAUUUUGGGUGUGAACCAAAAUGCAAAGAAGAUCGAUUUUCUUCGCCUCUUGAAACAAAAAGAAAAUCAUAGUUACAUGGCAGAAAAUUUCCAGCAAAAUAAGUUUAUAUCCUCCCAUGUAGCUAAAUUGCUGAACAGCUAAACAUCAGAAAGAUCCAGUACUGCAACUCAUGAAGUUACUCAAAAUUCAAACCAAGUAAUCCAUACAAAAGCCAAAUCUCAUCAGUCAGCUUAGGAUAUCAGAGAGAAAACAACAUUUUUAUUCAAAGGGGAAACCAUACAGGCUAAUAAAACCCAGAUUUCUAGCUAUAUGACUGCACUCUAGACCCUCCAAACAAAGUCAAUCUGAACCCGCAUCUAAUUCAAAUUUGAUGGCUCAUAUUAGCCAUAGUUAUGAUGGUCAGAGCUCAAGGUUAGGUUUAGGACUGUAAUACAGCUGAGUCAAAAAUCGGAUCCAGCUCAGUUAAGUACCAUUUUUUGAGAUAGAGCUUUGCUCUAGAUGAAAUCGAACUAUUUUUCAUACAGGAAGGACAACUAGAAAUCUGCAUUCUGCUGGAACAGUGAGUCCGAAAAUUCUAAGACAUAUUACAUGAAAAAUUAGGGAAGUGUUUAGGUUUAGGGUUAACAAAAGGCGAAUCCAAAAUUCCAAGACAUAUUACUCCAAUUUGGGUGUGAGUAUUUCACGAAGAUUUUCAUGUACUUAAAGAGCUUUUGGUAGAACGUAUCUACGUACCCAUGUCCGGAAAUGCUUUAGAUAUAGAUACUUCAAGAGAAAAUAAGAGUCAGAGCAUGAUCUUCUCAACAAGAAACCAAAGAUACCAAAUAAGCAUUAUACAUGUAUAUGUUUAAG